CAACGUCGGGGCUGGGUGUACUGGGUUGUUCGUUCUCCCUCCCACAUCGCUCCAUGUGCCUGGCAGUUGAUGACGCGCACAGGUGCAUAGGGAAAAAGUUUUGUGAUAAGCUCGCUUGUGAAACUGCUGUCUGGUGCGGCACCACUGGGCAAGAUAGAAGCGAAGCGCUUUCCAGCUGACUGUAAUGUUGAACGGGCGAGAAAUGAACAGGUAGAGAACGCGAGCUGGAAUACCAACCCAGGGAGGCACGUAUAUGCACCACUCAGAGACAUGUUUCCAAGCGGUAUAUCGCGGGAGAGCCAGUAGCACGAGCCUCGGAUACACCUUGAAGCCACGUGGAGACAGGAGAAGACCACGUUCUUCAAGUUGACCGCUGCCUUCGCAUCGAUAUCUAGAGACAAGCCGGAGGACUCAACAUGGACGUGUAUCGUGCUAUUUACGGCCUUGCUGUCUUGGCGAUGUCAUUGAUUUCUACGUCCAGUGGUAAUCGAGGUGUGGACACGCUCUCCUACGAAGACCAGCUUGUGAAACAGAUUCUCCACAAGUAUCGUGUGCGCGGAAAAUACAGUCGCCCAGUUCGGCAUUUCAACGACACUCUUAAAGUCACCUUUGGCAUACAAUUGACGCAGAUCAUGGACUUGAACGAGCAGGAUCAGAUACUAACGCUGAAUGUGUGGGACAUUUACUGGUGGAAAGAUGAGCAGGCAACGUGGAACAUGACCGAAUAUGGCGGCGUCGACAAGGUGCGCAUACCCUGGAACAAAGUCUGGUUGCCAGACAUCAAGCUGUACAACUACGCUGACUACCGCCUGCAAGAACAGCGGACGGUGUUGUGUGUGUUCCACCAUGAUGGCCGAGUUCAGUGGAUGCCCCAGGCUGUGUACCGCAGCUCUUGUCAGAUCGACGUUACGACCUUUCCAUUUGAUGUUCAGUCGUGUAUUUUGAAAUUCGGAUCCUGGACCUAUGACGGUAACAAGCUUGAAGUUCAUUUCAACGAAGAUAAAGACUAUAUAGAUCUUACAGAGUACGUGACCAGCAACGCCUGGACCAUCAUUGACGUCCCUGCGAAACGCAACGUCAAGUUCUACAGCUGCUGCCCUGAGCCCUACGUGGACCUGACCUUCACCUUGAUCUUCCAGAGACGAGCCACCCUGUAUAACUACAUCCUGAUUCUGCCGUGUGUCCUUCUCACCUCCAUCACCCUCAUCCUCUUCUGGAUUCCCCCGGAAUCACCCGCAAAGAUGAUGUUAGGUUUAACUAUCUUCAUUGCCUUCUUCAUUCUGCUGAAAAUCUUGGAGAAGAACCUUCCACCCGGCACAUCCAGCAUGCCCUUGAUAGGUACUUACUACUGCCUCAACAUGAUCAUCAUCACCCUAUCAUCAUUCCUCAAUGUGCUGGUGGUCAACUGGGCGGCAUAUGGUCAGAGAGCAAACAUUCCUCCUCCCAUGAAGGCGGUUCUGUUUGAUGUAUGCGCUAAGGUGCUGCACAUGGAAGACCUUGUUCGACCAUUCCAGAAGAAGGACAGAGGAGAGGAGGCAGCGGCAACAACCAGUAACCCUGGAGAGGAGGACACCAAGUGGAGCCAAGAUCCCAUGGCUUCAACUGAAGUGCUUACGCAUCUAAAAUGCACCCAUGCCACAGGUCCAAUUGCUUCUAUUGACGCCAAACUUGGAGAACUUCGAGAGUUUAUUCGUGCUCACAAACAACGUUUGGCGGACAAAGAUCGCCGCGAAAGUAUGGUGAAAGAAUGGAAGGCUUCAGCUUUGAUCCUCGACAGAAUUAUCUUUGUCGUUUACUUCCUUAUAAUAGUAACCUCCUUGGCUGUCAUCUUGCCAUCUAUUGUCUACAGUGCUGAUUACCAGAGCACAAGACUUAAAGAGGCAUUUAAUAUACAGGAAUAAGACGCUUAUGAUAAAUAUGCGAGGCUCUUGUGGUAUUGUCUUCAGGCGGUCACUUUCAUACCCUUCAUAUGAUGAUAUGAUGGUUGCACAAACACAGGGCAGAUAUUAGCCGGUCUUCACAAACAUUUAGAAAGAGAGACCUUCCAACUGUUGCUUAUCAGGAAAGAACAGGUGUUUACGUUAACGCACAUCUUUGUUGUUACUAGCCAAGGCGUUUGAAUACAGUAUUGAGCCAUGAUGGACACAAACAACUGAAGAAUAUGCUUGUCUAAUUCAAAUCAGCACUUAUCUGUAUGAAUGCGUAGUGAGAAUAUUGGAUAUGUGCAGUGGGACAUGUUAUGCGCGAGUGCUGGUUGUUUGGGACGAGACUGGGAUUGAUAAGGAUAUUUUUUGUGGCUGGGCAAUGUUAAUCGGAUCGUGGUUGGGUAGGAAGAGACACACAGAAUGAGAUUGGUGUUUUGUGUGGUAGGGCAAAGUAAGUCGGAUGUUAGAUCGUAUUAUGGGGCCCUCAGGGCGUGAUUGUGUGACGCGAGAAUUCAGCAUGUUGGCUGUACGACAGGAAUCCAACAUCUGAAUGUAAGUUGCGUGAUAGGGGACAUUCUUUCAGUGAAUGUUUGUUUUGCAGUACAACGCAAAAAAGGUCAUGAAUGAUAGUUUAGAGGUAAGGACUUCCACACUGUGAAUGGUGGUUCAGUGGCUGCAGACAUUCAACGGUUGAAUGUUUGGUAAGGGAAUCCACAUUGUGAAAGGUGGUUCAGUGGCUGCAGACAUUCAACGGUUGAAUGCGGUAAGGGACUCGUAGAAUGCUAACUUGGCUUUGCGAGACGGGGCGUGUUGAUUGUGAAUAUUGAUAGUGCAGUGGGUGGCAUUCAGGACGUGGGCUUUGGCUGUGUAGAACAGGCGUGAACGGGUUUUACAUCAAUGAAGACACAGAAAUUGUUCAAAUCGUUUUACAGAGAACGCUGUGCACUCUUCACAGUAAAACCGCCCAAUUUCAUGGGUCUGGUGCAGGAAAAUCUCCUAUGACCAACUUGGGAUAAUAUUAUUAACUAUGCAUAGCGGAGAAACUACUUUUUGGCAUGUUUAUGUUUACUUAAUUCUGGAUAGUUCUCUGUCUUGAAUAGACCGUAUUGCACAGAAUGGUUUAUGCAAAUAUGUUGUCAGUAUUUAAUUGUAUGCGGCACGUAAGGCCGUUGUGUUACCCGUUAUCGAGGUAUGAUUUGUCUGAUUGUAUGCCUGGAAGUGAAAGAAUGACGUCAGCGGUGCAUGGUGUGUGUUUUUCUUGUACAGAUUGAUGCAUUGUUACCCUUAUUUAGCGGGGAAAAAUCAACGACAUUUGUAGUUUUGAUACUGGUCAAAUCCUAAUUUAGAUUUAGAAGUAUGACUUCAGGACAAAAUGUAGUCUGUUUAAUUUAAAUAUGUAUAAAUAGAACCCUUAAGCUUUUGAAGCGUGUUUACAUGGUUUUUUUCUAGAACGGACAUUGUGAUGUUAUUGUCAUUGAACUAUGUAUGUACAUAUAUGUAAAUACAAACUAUGUGUUUUCUUUAUGGUUACUUGGUAAGCCAUCAUGUAAAUGUAUUUUCCACUUUUUUCCACAAAUCAAGGAAAGCUAUGCCAAUUGCAGAAGCUUCACCUACACAUGAUGUCACAGUUUCACAUUGACCUUCACUAUGAUAGUUCAAGAUUGAGACCUUUUGUCAGUUGUCACUGAUAUAAACAUGCAGCGUUAUAUAUGUAUCGGACAUACUUAGAAUCACGAGAAGACGGUAUUUGUUGUUGCAUAGAUGAUUUGUCGUGAUGUCGGUGGGGAAGUAGUAUCGCAUAAAGGCUCAACGCUUACAUGUGUACUCAGGGGUUGGUCGAGAUAGCCAAGUGGUUCAGCGUUGUCUCAUCAAGCCCAAGACCGGGUUUCAUUCCCAUACGGUAGUAAAGUCCAUUCGUUGCCUCCCCGCCGUGAUAUCACUGAAAUAUUGAUGAAAGCGGCAUAAAACGUUUUUUUACUCACAUGUGUACUCUGGUUUAUUUCAAGACAAAUCUGGUUGACAUUUAUAUAUUUGUUUCCCUCAACGGUUGUCUGUUUCUACCCAUUAGAAGAUUAUUUUGACUAACACAUAUGGUAUGAACCCUUUGUACGUGGGAGUUUCUUUUUUGUACAUUGUUAAACUAUUGAUUUGUGUUCUUCUGCCAGAGUAUACUAUAUUAUAGGGGUACUGUUUGCAUUCCACUACCAUACAGCUAUAGAACUCAUUAUAGUGCUCUUCCAUGGCUUGCUUGCGUUUGUCUCUGACAGCUUUGUCAAACGAGAACAGCAACAUAUUAAAAAGUGAUAUGGUCAGCACGACUUAACCUUUCAUACGCAUUCGUUAUGAGAUGAUAAUGUGUAUAUUACACUAUAGUUUUCAUUCA
rnacentral:misc_RNA from 1 species